rnacentral:rRNA from 1 species
CGAACGGGUGAGUAAUGCGUGACCAACCUGCCCCAUGCUCCAGAAUAGCUCUUGGAAACGGGUGGUAAUGCUGGAUGCUCCAACUUGACGCAUGUCUUGUUGGGAAAGUGUUUAGUGGCAUGGGAUGGGGUCGCGUCCUAUCAGCUUGUAGGCGGGGUAAUGGCCCACCUAGGCUUCGACGGGUAGCCGGCCUGAGAGGGCGGACGGCCACAUUGGGACUGAGAUACGGCCCAGACUCCUACGGGAGGGCAGCAGGG